AGCUUUGCGCAGUGGCAGCGUCAUAGCCAAUGAGGUUCAUCCAAGGCACGAUUAUUGCUAACUGAAAAUUUUUCCUUUUCCCACUUCUCUCUGUCUUCUUUUCUCUAAAAGUAUAAAACUUGACGUAAUUUCUGGUGUUUGAAAAGUAAU
rnacentral:snRNA from 1 species